rnacentral:rRNA from 1 species
GAACGCUGGCGGCGUGCUUAACACAUGCAAGUCGAACGUGAAAGGGGCUUCGGCCCUAAGUAAAGUGGCGCACGGGUGAGUAACACGUGGAUAAUCUGCCCUUAUGAUCGGGAUAACAGUCGGAAACGGCUGCUAAUACCGGAUACGCUCAAAAUGAACUUUUUGAGGAAAGGUGACCUCUGCUUGCAAGUUACUGCAUGAGGAUGAGUCCGCGGCCCAUUAGCUAGUUGGUAGGGUAACGGCCUACCAAGGCAACGAUGGGUAGCCGAUUUGAGAGGAUGAUCGGCCACACUGGGACUGAAACACGGCCCAGACUCCUACGGGAGGCAGCAGUGGGGAAUAUUGCGCAAUGGGCGAAAGCCUGACGCAGCGACGCCGCGUGAGGGAUGAAGGUUUUCGGAUCGUAAACCUCUGUCAGAAGGGAAGAAACCGCACCGUGCUAAUCAGCGGUGCAUUGACGGUACCUUCAAAGGAAGCACCGGCUAACUCCGUGCCAGCAGCCGC